GAAAGCCGUAUUCGGGAAAACUGAACGUACGGUUUGAUGAGGGGGAACUGGAAAUAGGACUAUUUUAGUUACUACGCCAGUUCUCUACUCUAC
rnacentral:ncRNA from 1 species